CCUACGGGAGGCUGCAGUCGAGGAUCUUUGGCAAUGGACGCAAGUCUGACCAAGCGACGCCGCGUGUGCGAUGAAGGCCUUCGGGUUGUAAAGCACUGUCGAGGGGAGCAUCUAUCUCUGGAGGAAGCACGGGCUAAGUUCGUGCCAGCAGCCGCGGUAAGACGAACCGUGCGAACGUUGUUCGGAAUCACUGGGCUUAAAGGGCGCGUAGGCGGGCAAUCAAGUCUGAGGUGAAAUCCUCCAGCUUAACUGGAGAAGUGCCCCGGAUACUGGUUGCCUCGAGGAUGGUAGGGGCAUCUGGAACUAGCGGUGGAGCGGUGAAAUGCGUUGAUAUCGCUAGGAACUCCGGUGGCGAAGGCGAGGUGCUGGACAUUCUGACGCUGAGGAGCGAAAGCCAGGGGAGCGAACGGGAUUAGAUACCCUUGUAGUC
rnacentral:rRNA from 1 species